rnacentral:rRNA from 1 species
AUGAAUAGAGUUAAACACCAUCAGACUGAUUCAGGUACAUGUUCUAUUUGUGGUGUAGAAGACGAAGACACUUUUCAUGCUCUAGUGAGUUGUUCUAAAGCGUGUGCUCUACGACUGACAUUGAGAGAGCUGUGGAAUAUUCCGGAUGAAGAUGUCUUCAAGUGCUCGGGACCAGAUUGGUUGUUGAUUUUGUUGGCUCAAUGGAGCGUGCAGCAGAGGGAGCAAAUCUUGUUUCUUUUCUGGCGAGCAUGGCAUUUGAGAAAUGAUUUAAUUUUUCGAAAGGGAAAGAAUCUGUUAAUGCCUCUGCACUUUUUUGAGCAACUAUUGGGCCACCUUCACAUCCAAUAA